GGCACCCCGCACCCGGUACCCCCCUGCUUGGGGCCGCCGCGUUUCUUCGCGACUUUGAGCCCCUUUUUCUUCCACCCUUCCCCUUCUCCUGCUCCUGUUCUUUUCCCUCCCGCUGCCCGCAGCCCGGACUGGAGCCUCCUCGGCAUAACCCCGGUGCCUCCGCAGCCCCUCGGCCGCAAUAGAUCAUACUAAAAAGAGAUUCUAGCAGGAAGCAACGAUGAAUGCAAUGUUUGCUUGAAAGAAGGUUAUGGAGAAUAUUUACUGGGUUAGCACGCGUACCCGCAUUGCAGAGGUCAUUUGAGAGGAGCAAGAAGCAACCACGGCCAUGUGGCCAAGGGCAGCUGAAAAAUGGAACAAACAUGUGCUGAGAGGAAUGACCAAGCACCUCUGCACUUCAGCUCUUCUGGGACAUGCAAAUCUGCUACAAAACAGUAUAGCCAUUCAGAUCCAUACAAAGAACUUUAUCCAGUAAGUUUUGUUGUUUUUUCUGUUGUGAGUGGUUAAUUUGUGUACUCAUUUUACAUUCCCUGUUAUUGCCUUUUACCUUCUCUAGUCUGAUCUUGUGUAGAAAGGGGCUCAUACACUUGUUCACUUCCACUAAAUGCAGUUUGGGGUGGCUGUCUUUUUAACUAUGA